UGAGCAAUCUGCCCUUCUCUUUAGGAAUAAGCGUUGGAAACGACGUCUAAUGCCGAAUACGACCUCCUUUCGCAUGAUCGGAGGUGGAAAGCUCCGGCGGAGAAGGAUGAGCUCGCGGCCUAUCAGCUAGUUGGUGUGGGUAAUGGCCCACCAAGGCGACGACGGGUAGCCGGCAUGAGGAGGGUGACCGGCCACACUGGGACUGAGACACCGGCCCAGACCUCCGUACGGGAGCAG
rnacentral:rRNA from 1 species